GGAGUCACACUUCCUCUUUCUUAGGCUUGCUCUGCCCUUUAGAGAGAGGAGGCAGCAGUUCUAACUGAAACUCUUGAAGGUAAUAGAUCUUAAUGUGGAUUCGAUUCUGUAUCAGUGGCAGUUCCCUGAGCUAUAUAGAUAACAGGUACAACUUGCAAUAUUCUUGCUGCCACCUACAGGCUCCCCUGUGUACCACCUGUGAUGUUGGGGUGGGGAGAACAAAUGAACUGAAGUGUCCUUAGAGGAUGACUUGGAACCCUGAAAAGUGAAAAAAUGGUCAGUAGACUAAUGAAGCUCGGACAUUUCCUUGAGCUGAGGCAAACAGGUGACUGGGCCAUCGAGAAUCUGUCAGGUGUCCUGUGAUAAUGUCAGAGGCAGAGAACCAUCACGGCUUCAUCUGUAGAGUGACUUUGGAAAUCUUCCUUGUCAAUAAACCCUUCCUGCUCUGCUCGAAUGCCUUGGAGCCUUCCUUCCCUGAUCUUCCAAGGACUCAGUGCCCGCACAGCAUUGAUUUGACUUAUGUUGCUAUUAUGUGUUUAAAACGUUUGUCUUCUCCACUUGACCAGGAUCUCAUCUUCCAAUCUCUAUGCUCAGUUGAAAGAAAGGAACAGGAAACCAACUCACUUGUUCUUUUACGUCAUCGGUCCUUAAACUUCCAGGAUCUCAGACUCCUACAAGGUUAUUGAAUCUCUCCCAAAUGAAAUGCACAUAUACACAAAUUUUUCAUAAGCUUACAGGAAAUGUAUAGACC